rnacentral:tRNA from 1 species
GGAGAGAUGGCCGAGUGGUUUAAGGCGCACGCUUGGAAAGCGUGUGUGCGUGUAAGCGUACCGUGGGUUCGAAUCCCACUCUCUCCGCCA